rnacentral:rRNA from 1 species
GCUUAGCCAUAAACCUUGAUAUACUACCAUAAAAUAUCCGCCAGAGAACUACGAGUGAAAAACUUGAAACUUAAAGGACUUGACGGUGUUCCACAUCGACCUAGAGGAGCCUGUCCUAUAAACGAUACCCCACGCUAAACCUCACCCCCCCUAGCCCACUCAGCCUAUAUACCGCCGUCGUCAGCUCACCUUAUGAAAGCCAUACCAGUAAGCAAAAUCGUUCAACACAAAAACGUCAGGUCAAGGUGUAGCUUAUGGGAGGGAAAGAGAUGGGCUACAUUCUCUAAAAUAGAGAUACAAAAAGCACUAUGAAACAGUGACCACAGAUGGAUUUAGAAGUAGACUGGACUAGACAAUCCAAUCGAACCCCGCCCUGGAACGCGU